AUUGAACGCUGGCGGCAGGCUUAACACAUGCACGUCGAACGAGUGGCGGACGGGUGAGUAAUGCUUGGGAAUCUGGCUUAUGGAGGGGGAUAACGACGGGAAACUGUCGCUAAUACCGCGUACCAUCGGAUGAGCCCAAGUGGGAUUAGGUAGUUGGUGGGGUAAUGGCCUACCAAGCCGACGAGCUCUAGCUGGGCCGAGAGGAUGACCAGGCACCCCGGGACUGAGCAACGGGCCGGACUCCUACGGGAGGCAGCAGUGGGGAAUAUUGCGCCAUGGGUGCAACCCUGACGGAGCCAUUCCGCGUGAAUGAAGAAGGCAUUCGGGUUGUAAAGUUCUUUCGGUAUUGAGGCGUUAAAUACAGAAGAAGCACCGGCUAACUCCGUGCCAGCAGCCGCGGUAAUUC
rnacentral:rRNA from 1 species